UACGUAGGGGGCAAGCGUUGUCCGGAUUUAUUGGGCGUAAAGAGCGUGUAGGCGGCUUGGUAGGUCCGUUGUGAAAACUCGAGGCUCAACCUCGAGACGCCGGCGGAAACCAUCAGGCUAGAGUCCGGAAGAGGAGAGUGGAAUUCCUGGUGUAGCGGUGAAAUGCGCAGAUAUCAGGAAGAACACCCGUGGCUAAGGCGGCUCUCUGGGACGGUACUGACGCUGAGACGCGAAAGCGUGGGGAGCAAACAGG
rnacentral:rRNA from 1 species